rnacentral:rRNA from 1 species
UUGCGGUUAAAAAGCUCGUAGUUGGAUUUCUGUCAGUGAGUGAUGCUCCGCCCCUCGUGGUGAGUAGUCAUCAUGCCGCUGGCAUCUUCUUGGGGAGUGUAUCUGCACUUCACUGUGUGGUGCACAAGCCAGGACAUUUACUUUGAGGAAAUGAGAGUGUUUCAAGCAGGCGUGCGCCGUGAAUACGCUAGCAUGGAAUAAUAGCAUCGGACCUCGCUCCAAAGCUGUUGGUUUCUUGGGUCGAGGUAAAGGUGAAUAGGGAUUGUUGGGGGCAUUCGUAUUUAACUGUCAGAGGUGAAAUUCUUGGAUUUGUUGAAGACGGACUACUGCGAAAGCAUCUGCCAAAGAUGUUCUCAUUGAUCAAGAACGAAAGUUAGGUGAUCGAAGACGAUCAGAUACCGUCCUAGUCUUAACCAUAAACUAUGCCGACUGGAGAUAGGGGGUCGUUAAAUCUAUGACGCCUUCUGCAUCUUGAGAGAAAUCAAAGUCUUUGGGUUCCGGGGGGAGUAUGGUCGCAAGGCUGAAACUUAAAGGAAUUGACGGAAGGGCACCACCAGGAGUGGAGCCUGCGGCUUAAUUUGACUCAACACGGGGAAAACUUACCAGGUCCAGACAUAGUGAGGAUUGACAGACUGAUAGCUCUUUCGAGAU